AGAGUUUGAUCAUGGCUCAGAACGAACGCUGGCGGCGUGGAUAAGACAUGCAAGUCGAACGAGAUUUUUUCCUGUAGCAAUACAGGGAAAAGUCUAGUGGCGAACGGGUGCGUAACACGUGGGCAAUCUGCCUUAAAGUGGGGGAUAGCUCGGCGAAAGCCGAAUUAAUACCGCAUGUGAUCAGAGGGGACAUCCCUUCGAAAUCAAAGUCGGGGCAACCUGACGCUUUUUGAGGAGCCCGCGGCCUAUCAGCUAGUUGGUGAGGUAAUGGCUCACCAAGGCUCUGACGGGUAGCUGGUCUGAGAGGACGACCAGUCACACUGGAACUGAGACACGGUCCAGACACCUACGGGUGGCAGCAGUCGAGAAUUUUUCUCAAUGGGGGAAACCCUGAAGGAGCGACGCCGCGUGGAGGAUGAAGGUCUUCGGGUUGUAAACUCCUGUCAUUUGGGAACAAGUUGGACGCCGUAACUGCGCGUCCAUUGAUAGUACCAGAAGAGGAAGGGACGGCUAACUCUGUGCCAGCAGCCGCGGUAAUACAGAGGUCUCAAGCGUUGUUCGGAUUCAUUGGGCGUAAAGGGUGUGUAGGUGGCGCGCUAAGUCGGGUGUGAAAUUUCGGAGCUUAACUCCGAAACUGCAUUCGAUACUGGCGUGCUUGAGGACUGGAGAGGAGACUGGAAUUCAUGGUGUACCAGUGAAAUGCGUAGAGAUCAUGAGGAAGACCAGUGGCGAAGGCGGGUCUCUGGACAGUUCCUGACACUGAGACACGAAGGCCAGGGGAGCAAACGGGAUUAGAUACCCCAGUAGUCC
rnacentral:rRNA from 1 species